ACCAGUGGAUCUUUUGAAGCAAAACAGUCUGUUUGUGAGAGACAACAACUAUAUAUUUUUAGCUAAUUUAUGUUAUUUAUUAAAUCUCAUGACAAACAACAAACCAUAUGACAACUAGUCAUGAGACACACGAGAACCAAUGAGAGUCGUGCCGCCAUAAUUCGAGAAAGGAAAUCAUAUACAUCUGGGAUGGCAAAUGGGUAAGUAAAUUAUGAAUUUUUAUAUUUUGGUGAACUAUUCAUUUAACACCAAUGCUCUGUGGAAAAUAGUUUAAAAUUGUUGACUGACACAUUAAAAAAUGAAUGCAGAUGGGUAAUGAGUUUAGAUGGAUAUGUAAUUCCAACUGACGACACCCAAUUCAACUUUGUUGAACUGCAGCUCCUCAUUUUGAUUACAAAUGAGGCAGCUUUUGAAGACAUUACCUGCUGGGAAUAUUUUCAGCAUCACUUGCGGUCAGCGAUCUUUCAUCACAACCCGAAUAAAUUGUCCAUCCAUCCUGUGUGUGUGUGUGUGUUGAUAGCGGGCAGAGCAGCCGGCAGUAUGAGGGUUAACGCUGACAAGAACAGUAAUGAGAGAGCAGCCAGACGCGCAAGACUGCUGCUGCUGUUGUUUUUUCCACACCAUUUGUCACAAUCCAACUCUCCUGGGCUCAGUUUUUCUCUCUCCCUCACCAGGGAGUGGCAUUCGGAUGAACUCUUGUCAGUUAAGGUGUUACACCGCUGUCCCUGGAUGUGUGAGGUCAUACGAUUACUUAUUCAUCUGCCAGUUCUCCUACUACUACUCUGCGAUGUGAAAAAGUCUGACAUUUGACCCAUGAGCUCUGGGAAGGGUUGAAGGCAAACUGAGAGAAAAGGAUAAAGCGAGAGAUGUAAUUUCAAUAAAAAUGUUAUGUCAAUGACACUGUA